ACAGGCUUCCACCAUCUCAGUGAAGAAGGACUUUUUACUCCGUCCCUCAUCUCUGCCUCAUCUCUUCCUCAUCUCUUCCUCUAUACAUCAGUGUCCUGCUCUGCUGCAAACAUGAGGAACCUGAUCUCUGUGGCUGUGAUCCUUCAUGUGGCAUUCACAGUA